CUCUGGAUAUUUGUUACUUCAUACAAACUGACAUGAAUAAUUCCAAAAGUUAAUUCUAAAAUAUACAAUUAUUAUAUAUCUAAAGUUGAUGCAUCCUCAAUAUACAACUACUCUACAAGAGACGCAAUAAAAUUUGUAAAAUAAAAACUAGCUAAUGGGAGGCUAGACAUUAAAUUUUGUCAAACUAAAAUAAUACAAACUAUGUACAUUGGGUUAGAUAUUUUAUCUUUAAUCUAUAAAUUCUAGGGAGUUCCACGUUAAAAAAGAAAAAGUUCUAAGUAAUUGAUCAUGGGUAUGAAAAUGUUGCCACUCGAUUGCAUUCAAGAAAGAAAUAACUUCAGUCUCCUUAAUCUUCUUGCAUUCAAGAAUUAAAAUGCACCCUGUAAAUUCAAAAGAAACAAUAAUUAGCACAAAAAUGAUGAGAAAACCCAGGGAAAAUUAUAAUACAAAGAUUAAGUUUAAUUGGUAAAAAUGCUACUAAUAGAAUUUCAAGAAGAAAAAAUUAUGUCUUCAUAAUCUUUUACAAGAAUUUUUAACAAAUAACAAAAGGGAAAGACUCAAAACAACAACAUAAGUAAACGAAUCUGUACACAUUUUAAAGAAUUUCUUAAGGAAUCAUCAUCCCAACAUUACAACCUUAUAAUUUUCAAGUUUCCACGCAAUAUUUAUAACAAAGAAAAUAUAAUAUUUAUCAAAUUGUUGGAAUAACCCGCAAAAUUUAACCCAGAAAUCUUAGUCAAGUAGAUAUAAGGAGAUUCAAAAACCUUAAAAUCUAGAGAUAUGUAUAUACUCGGAAGAGAGAAAUGGGAAAGUGGGAGGAGGGGGGUGGCGGCUUAGAGGGGGAGAUGUGAGGAUGAAAUUAGGUUUUGGUUUUGGCUUUGUUAUUGCUUUACUUUUUGU
rnacentral:lncRNA from 1 species